GUAUACUGUAUAACAACUAAAUACUGAGACAGUGACACACACACAGGGUCUGGGGUAUACUGUAUAACAACUAAAUACUGAGACAGUGACACACACACAGGGUCUGGGGUAUACUGUAUAACAACUAAAUACUGAGACAGUGACACACAGGGUCUGGGGUAUACUGUAUAACAACUAAAUACUGAGACAGUGACACACAGGGUCCGGGGUAUACUGUAUAACAACUAAAUACUGAGACAGUGACACACACAGGGUCUGGGGUAUACUGUAUAACAACUAAAUACUGAGACAGUGACACACACACAGGGUCUGGGGUAUACUGUAUAACAACUAAAUACUGAGACAGUGACACACAGGGUCUGGGGUAUACUGUAUAACAACUAAAUACUGAGACAGUGACACACACAGGGUCUGGGGUAUACUGUAUAACAACUAAAUACUGAGACAGUGACACACAGGGUCUGGGGUAUACUGUAUAACUACUAAAUACUGAGACAGUGACACACACACAGGGUCUGGGGUAUACUGUAUAACUGCUAAAUACUGAGACAGUGACACACACACAGGGUCUGGGGUAUACUGUAUAACUACUAAAUACUGAGACAGUGACACACAGGGUCUGGGGUUUACUGUAUAACUACUAAAUACUGAGACAGUGACACACACACAGGGUCUGGGGUAUACUGUAUAACAACUAAAUACUGAGACAGUGACACACACACACAGGGUCUGGGGUAUACUGUAUAACAACUAAAUACUGAGACAGUGACACACACAGGGUCUGGGGUAUACUGUAUAACUACUAAAUACUGAGACAGUGACACACACAGGGUCUGGGGUAUACUGUAUAACUACUAAAUACUGAGACCGUGACACACACACAGGGUCCGGGGUAUACUGUAUAACAACUAAAUACUGAGACAGUGACACACACACAGGGUCUGGGGUAUACUGUAUAACAACUAAAUACUGAGACAGUGACACACAGGGUCUGGGGUAUACUGUAUAACAACUAAAUACUGAGACAGUGACACACACACACAGGGUCUGGGGUAUACUGUAUAACAACUAAAUACUGAGACAGUGACACACAGGGUCUGGGGUAUACUGUAUAACAACUAAAUACUGAGACAGUGACACACACACAGGGUCUGGGGUAUACUGUAUAACUACUAAAUACUGAGACAGUGACACACACACAGGGUCUGGGGUAUACUGUAUAACUGCUAAAUACUGAGACAGUGACACACACACAGGGUCUGGGGUAUACUGUAUAACAACUAAAUACUGAGACAGUGACACACACACAGGGUCUGGGGUAUACUGUAUAACAACUAAAUACUGAGACAGUGACACACACACAGGGUCUGAGGUAUACUGUAUAACAACUAAAUACUGAGACAGUGACACACAGGGUCUGGGGUAUACUGUAUAACAACUAAAUACUGAGACAGUGACACACACAGGGUCUGGGGUAUACUGUAUAACAACUAAAUACUGAGACAGUGACACACACACAGGGUCUGAGGUAUA